rnacentral:lncRNA from 1 species
AGAUUAAACAAUAAGACCUUUAUUGCUGCACAAACCAGAGAAAUAGGGGGCAAUUCCAAACUGGUGACCUGGAGGCAGGAAAACCAACCACAAAUAUCAAGUGAAACCAACGAAUUCGAAGGUCAAAUUCAUACUUAAUCAAUUGAAAUAGGAAAAUGUAAGGGCACAUACUACUCAAGAUUUCCUCCAGGGAACAUUAGGGCACACCGACAUCACCCUUGUGUCAGCAAAUCAGAGUGACUAAUGAAAUACUGUACAAGGAAGAGGUGAGAUGGGUUCUACCAAGAAACUGGCAGUGAUGUAACUCUGAUGACGGCCCUGGGGAGUUUAGAACAUGGAAUGUAGCUCCUGUAAGCCUCACAGACACCUGGAACUCAUUGAGAAUUUUAAGUCAUUAGAUGUUUGCAAGUAUGAGGUUCAAUUUCAGGCAAAUGGCUCCCUUACAAAAGCUGUCUAGUGCUGUUAUAAUGAAAAAGGAGGGAGCACAUUCUUCAGCUCUAAGAUCUUUCUCAAAGUGUGGA